rnacentral:rRNA from 1 species
GGUAAUGCCGGAUGCUCCAUCACACUGCAUGGUGUGUUGGGAAAGCCUUUGCGGCAUGGGAUGGGGUCGCGUCCUAUCAGCUUGAUGGCGGGGUAACGGCCCACCAUGGCUUCGACGGGUAGCCGGCCUGAGAGGGCGACCGGCCACAUUGGGACUGAGAUACGGCCCAGACUCCUACGGGAGGCAGCAGUGGGGAAUAUUGCACAAUGGGCGCAAGCCUGAUGCAGCGACGCCGCGUGAGGGAUGGAGGCCUUCGGGUUGUAAACCUCUUUUGUUAGGGAGCAAGGCAUUUUGUGUUGAGUGUACCUUUCGAAUAAGCACCGGCUAACUACGUGCCAGCAGCCGCGGUAAUACGUAGGGUGCAAGCGUUAUCCGGAAUUAUUGGGCGUAAAGGGCUCGUAGGCGGUUCGUCGCGUCCGGUGUGAAAGUCCAUCGCUUAACGGUGGAUCCGCGCCGGGUACGGGCGGGCUUGAGUGCGGUAGGGGAGACUGGAAUUCCCGGUGUAACGGUGGAAUGUGUAGAUAUCGGAAAGAACACCA